CGUGUAGGCGGCCAAACAGGUCCGUUGUGAAACUGGAGGCUUAACCUCCAGACGUCGACGGAAACCGUGUGGCUAGAGUCCGGAAGAGGAGAGUGGAAUUCCUGGUGUAGCGGUGAAAUGCGCAGAUAUCAGGAAGAACACCAAUGGCGAAGGCAGCUCUCUGGGACGGUACUGACGCUGAGACGCGAAAGCGUGGGGAGCGAACAG
rnacentral:rRNA from 1 species